GUGGGGAAUAUUGGACAAUAGGCGAAAGCCUGAUCCAGCCAUGCCGCGUGUGUGAAGAAGGUCUUCGGAUUGUAAAGCACUUUAAGUUGGGAGGAAGGGCAGUAAGUUAAUACCUUGCUGUUUUGACGUUACCAACAGAAUAAGCACCGGCUAACUUCGUGCCAGCAGCCGCGGUAAUACGAAGGGUGCAAGCGUUAAUCGGAAUUACUGGGCGUAAAGCGCGCGUAGGUGGUUCAGCAAGUUGAAGGUGAAAUCCCCGGGCUCAACCUGGGAACUGCCUCCAAAACUACUGAGCUAGAGUACGGUAGAGGGUAGUGGAAUUUCCUGUGUAGCGGUGAAAUGCGUAGAUAUAGGAAGGAACACCAGUGGCGAAGGCGACUACCUGGACUGAUACUGACACUGAGGUGCGAAAGCGUGGGGAGCAAACAGGAUUAGAAACCCUAGUAGUCC
rnacentral:rRNA from 1 species